GGUUUCUGCAAGGCCAAAGGGAAUAUCGUCUGAGCCGUCGCACAAACUAACCAGCACAAACUGAAUUCAGAGUAUCGAAAAAAAUAUAGACGUCUUGGCUGCAGUCGAACUGUUUUCCUUGACAUCUGUGAACAUCAUGAAACAUCUUAAGGCUCGUCUCGGGCUUCCAUUUUUCUCACCGAGAGGAUUUUCCAGACAGGGGGCCCAUCGAAGGCCGCCCGACCCCCCUCCGCGCCCACCCCCGCCGCUCCUUCACAGAUUCAGUUGAUCAGCACGGCCGCUCGCUUCUGUUUUUCCCGUUUGUUGAGUGGCUUAGUCCUCAGUCGCCCCGGUCUCAAGUACCGCCACCCAGAGCUCGUUUAAGGGCGACCCGAUGAAAACGGUGGCGCGUUUAUUCUUUCCAUUCCCGACAAGAGAAGACAAAGAUGAUCUUAGUGAGCUCGGUUCGGUCUGAACCAACAAGACAGAGCGGCCGAUAACGUGUGUCGGUCGCUCCCACAGAGAGUGGAGGUGUAACGGUGGGGGUUGUUUGGGAAUGUCUAACAAACAUCCCUCUGUGAGUCGCGCUCGCUCCCCCAACAAUCCCCUUUGACCCUCAACGCUGGCCUUUGGCCCCCGACCCGCACAGCAAGGCCACAGCUGCUGAGGAAAGGAAAAAUAUAAAGCCGGCCAUUCUACAGCUUCCCACACGAGAGCGGAGUUAUUUACAAGCGCGUUCCUUUGGAGUUGUGGGAAAAGCAUCAACGCUGGGCCGAAACGAGCAGAAGCGAACGCUACCUAGCACGGUGAGCGUGGCGUUGGCAGACACAGUUCCCGCCGUGUUUUUGGCCGUGCAGCUGUACACGCCCAUGUCUUCGGGCUUGACGUCCAUGAUGAAGAACACGUCGUCGUCGGGCAUGACGUGCAUCCGCCGCUCCCGGGCGGCGGGGAAAUCCGUGCCGCCGUCCUUCUGCCAGGCGAUCUGCGGCGCCGGGUGGCCCUCGGCGGCGCACUCCAGCCUAGCCGUGUGGCCCGUUCUGAUGGUGCUGUCCCUGGGUGUCUUCACAAAAGAUGGCAGCACUGCGGAUCAAGCAGACCGAAAAACGUGCGUUAAAUUGGACGCAGGCGGAAUCACAAUUCUGCAAGCUUUCAUAGGCAUGACACCAAGAUGACAAACCGAAGAAUAAUUCUGUCACAAAGGCCGAGGGGCAGAGCGGUAGAGAAAUGGCUUCUGUCAUGGAGUCAAAUCAAUUUGUUACGAACGGCAAAAGAGAGUGGAGACUUUUGUUCGGCCGAAAGAGGAGAAACUCCCGCAUGGCUACCGAACUCAAUUGCGCCUCUGUCAAGUGGAACAAUUGAAAGGCAGAUAAGCGCAAUGUCAACAGACGUUUUAUUUGGCGGAAGUGAUGUAAUCACGCACACGUUAGCAGAUAACUGAUGGCCGUGAUUUGGCUGCACAGCCCUGUUUUGUUUUUGUCAACGGCGGUACAAAAAAAUCCCCCAAAAGAAAUACUGCCGUGUCGUCGAUUUUCUGGCGAUUCCAUUCGUACCAACAAAGCCUACCGUUGACGACGAGACGGGCCUUGCUUGAGUACGUGGAGCCAAAGUGGUUGGCGAUGAUGCACUGGUAGCGGCCCUCGUGCGCAAAGGUCACGUGGCGCAGGUGUAGGAUAGUGGUGUACUCCUUCACGCCGCUGCCUCCGCCCGUCCCGUCUUGAGGGCGAGGGCGCACGUGGGCGUAGUUCUCCGUCUCGGCGUGUCGAAGCAGCUCCUGGUCCUUGCGCCACGUGAAGGUCACGGGUGACGAGCUGCUGCUGGCGGCCGUGCAGGUGAGGCGCACGUUGCUGCCGAGGACCGCCACUGUGGUUUCUGGGUGGACGCUGAUCUGGGGUUUGGGAACGUCAUCUAAAGAGUCCAGGACGGACGACAGAAGGGGACGGGAAACGCCGACGUCAAAGUAAGUACGGAAUUUGAAUGAAAACGAUUGCAUAGCAAACAAACAGAUUACUCACCGCACAAAAAACUGCUGGAUGGAGCCUGAUAUACACUGGUACCCUUGAGAGCCUCAGGGUGGGCACACGUGGCGUUAACGCCGCUCUGUAUUCCGCGGGCCACCAACCACUCAGGCAGCCAGCGGAGCUGGCAGUCGCACAAGAAGCUGUCGCUCUGGAUGAGACUGCGGAGAAGAAGCAAGCACCUGAAAAUCAACUUGGGACGUAACGUGUACAGGUAAAAUGUGGGUUGGAUGAUGUGGCGAGUGCUCACAGAGUUUGGAGGUUCUUCAUCUUGCUUAAGGCAUCGGGCUGGAUGGAGCGGAUCGCAUUGUCGCCCAAGUUCCUGUGGGGGUGCGGCAGCAAGUCAACAAACGUCCUCAGAUACAUACAACCGAAUCCAGGUUGAAGAUCUUGCAACAAAAAAAAAAGGAACUUAUUGCGUGAGUUCCAAAGGCAGCAAAGUGACUCUUUUCGGAGCAAAACAAAACCAAACAAAAGGAACAAAGCAAGAAAGACCAGAAAGUUGCCAAAGAAACUGUGACAAAAGUGAACACGGAACAAUUUGUCCCAAAAAUGCCUAUGUGAUCAAACCUUGAAAUCAAACACCAAAGACCUCAAAUCAGCAUGGCAUAUUCACAGAGCUAUUCAAAUAUGACAACAUCUCGGCUUUCACUACUCCCCUGCGGCACAUCUCAGGAGUAAUUUUGACUUGCUAAUGGCAGAUGAGGUGUGGGGGGGGUGUAGACUUACAGGAUGCGCACAGCCCGGAGGCCUCUGAAGGCUCCCUCGGCGAUGUGGCUUAUUGCGUUGUGUCCCAGACGGAGGGUGUGGAGAUCCCCCAGCACAGCCAGACUGCCUUCAUCCAGACGCGUCAGGUUGUUAUACGACAGAUUCCUGGAGAGAGAAAAUGCGGGUGAGACACACACAGCAAUUAGGACAAGCGGGGCAUAGCAGUGAGGAAGAAAAAAAUGUUUUUUAAGAGUGAUUUUGGAAGGAGGGGGGGGGGGGGUGCGUACUAGACAUUUAUUUACGGUAAAUUUCAAAUGGAAAGGAAGAUGGGUGGAUCACUCUCAAACAUUGGACAACACCUAAAAGUAACUACUAAUAGUCAUCAACAAGAGUUUGAAUAUGUGAGUCUUCCUCCUGUGACUUCCUACAGCUCUCCUCUUGCUCACAUAUGCAGAGCGCCUGAUAAAAAGAAAAAAAAAAAAGCCAAAGGACCACUAAAACGCAAAGAGGACAGCCAGGAGGCAAUCUAUCAUUCAUAGACGUGUUUACAGGAUAUGGCGCUCAGAUAUGAACGGUAAACUUACAUCUAACUGGUAAUCUUGUCUAACUGUUACACAUGGACAAACACGCAAAGCCGGUCCACCUCGCAGUUAGUAACGCCUCAGCUGAGUAAAGCAUUUUAUAGCAGUGAAAUGACGCUCAUGUCAACAGAGAAGGAGGAAGGCUCUCAGGUAAUACCUUGUCCUUCACUUGACAAUAGGGGGGCAAAUGCGAUCCGUCGGUAAUUACCACAACACGGCGAGCACGAGAUGGCAUACACUCAAGGGAUGAAGAAAAAGACAGCAAAGGAACAGUUCCAAAGCUAUUGAGCUCAGGUCUAAUUAUGGGAUAAACAGGAUUAGCCUUCCUAGAGCAUAUUGAGUGUACAAGCGCUGCGGCGUUUAACCCUUGUAACGUAGAAAGAUCAUAUUGCUGAAGAUAAAAUGGAUGUAGAUAUUUUACACGGUAAAAAAAUGGAAUAAUUAUAUAUCAACAAAUUUGAUUUGGAGUCUGAGGAGGCACUCACAAUUCCCUCAGUUUCUGGCAGAACUUCCAACCGUCAGGAUUGAUGCGGGUUAUUGAGUUGUUACUGAGGAAGAGCUGCUGAAGGGACGUCAGACCAUACAAGGAGCCACUGUUCACCUCGCUCAGGCUGUUGUACUCCAAGUGUCUGGAUUACAAACAAUCAAUCAGAGAUACGUACAGGACUUUCAUCUUGGCAAGAUCCCAGAAAGCACCGUCAGUCAGCUUGCUGAUGCUGUUUCUUUGGAGCUUCAGCACCUCCAAGCUGGAAAGACCCUGGAAAGUCAAACCUUCCACCUGACGGAUGCGGUUCCUGUUCAGUUCGCUGCGGGUUGGACACAAGCACACAAAUCAUGACAAAAGGUUAUGAACUAUUUAAAAAUAAAAUAAACAUACAAACUGUUUCAUCACAUCAGCAAUUAAGAAGGAAAAAGAAUUGCCCUCAAAGGAGGAAAUAAACAACCUGGCCUAUUUGUUUGUGUUUAAUUUGACGUCACGCAAUUGGCUGGCCGACAAAAAAGACACCUGUAGAACCUGAUAAGAGUCAAAACAGGUUAGACUUCCAUUCCAAAAGCGCUUUUACUCUUCCAGUCACAGGCGUAGACAAUCGAUACUUCUUGUGUACACAGUGUCCGACUUCGGUGAGCCAAAGUAAAAGGAAGUUUGGCGAAGCUAGGACGAAGAAUGAACUUGGAAGAAGCCAAUAAAUGUUUGUUCCUACAACUUGCUUGCGUUUGACCCACAUUUUCACACCGAUGUAAAUUCAAAAGCACUCACAGAUGGGUGAGCCUCGGGAGCUGGAAUGCCCUGACGGGAAUCUGACUGACACGGUUUCGGCUCAAUCUCAGGACCUGGAGAGUGGAGCCGAGACGGUCCAGCGCUCCUGGCUCUAAUGUGCUGAUCUUGUUGCUGCUGAGGUAC